rnacentral:rRNA from 1 species
AUUGAACGCUGGCGGCAUGCUUUACACAUGCAAGUCGAACGGCAGCGCGGUCUUCGGCUUGGCUGCGCGUGGCGCACGGGUGAGUAAUGCAUCGGAACGUGCCCAGUUGUGGGGGAGAGUCCGGCGAAAGCCGGAUUAAUACUGCAUACGACCAGAGGGUGAAAGCGGGGGACCGAAAGGCCUUGCGCUCUUGGAGCGGCCGAUGUGGGAUUAGCUAGUUGGUGGGGUAAAGGCUUACCUAGGCGACGAUCCGUAGCUGGUCUGAGAGGACGAGCAGCCACACUGGGACUGAGACAGGGCCCAGGCUCCUACGGGAGGGAGCAGUGGGGAAUGUUGGACAGAGGGGGCAACCCUGAUCCAACCAUGCCGCGUGCGGGAAGAAGGCCUUCGGGUUGUAAACCGCUUUUGUUGGGGAAGAAAUCCUCUGGGCUAAUACCCCGCGGGGAUGACGGUACCGGAAGAAUAAGCACCGGCUAACUACGUG